rnacentral:rRNA from 1 species
GGAACGAACGCUGGCGGCAUGCCUAACACAUGCAAGUCGAACGAGACCUUCGGGUCUAGUGGCGCACGGGUGCGUAACGCGUGGGAAUCUGCCCUUGGGUACGGAAUAACAGUUAGAAAUGACUGCUAAUACCGUAUAAUGACUUCGGUCCAAAGAUUUAUCGCCCAGGGAUGAGCCCGCGUAGGAUUAGCUUGUGGUGAGGUAAAGGCUCACCAAGGCGACGAUCCUUAGCUGGUCUGAGAGGAUGAUCAGCCACACUGGGACUGAGACACGGCCCAGACUCCUACGGGAGGCAGCAGUGGGGAAUAGUUGGACAAGUGGGCGAAAGCCUGAUCCAGCAAUGCCGCGUGAGUGACUGAAGGCCGUUAGGUUGUAAAGCUACUUUGGCCCGGAUGAUAAUGACAGUACCGGAGUAAGAAGCGUCCG